rnacentral:tRNA from 1 species
GUGUAGCUUUGUGUUAGAGCUCUUGCCUGGCAUGCAUGGGGCCCUGGGUUCGAUCCCAGCAC